CUACGGGAGGCUGCAGUGGGGAAUAUUGGACAAUGGGCGAAAGCCUGAUCCAGCCAUGCCGCGUGUGUGAAGAAGGCCUUCGGGUUGUAAAGCACUUUCAGUGGGGAAGAAAGCCUUGGGGCUAAUACCCUCGAGGAAGGACAUCACCCACAGAAGAAGCACCGGCUAACUCCGUGCCAGCAGCCGCGGUAAUACGGAGGGUGCGAGCGUUAAUCGGAAUUACUGGGCGUAAAGCGCGCGUAGGCGGUCUGAUAAGCCGGUUGUGAAAGCCCCGGGCUCAACCUGGGAACGGCAUCCGGAACUGUCAGGCUAGAGUGCAGGAGAGGAAGGUAGAAUUCCCGGUGUAGCGGUGAAAUGCGUAGAGAUCGGGAGGAAUACCAGUGGCGAAGGCGGCCUUCUGGACUGACACUGACGCUGAGGUGCGAAAGCGUGGGUAGCAAACAGGAUUAGAUACCUAGUGUC
rnacentral:rRNA from 1 species